UCAAUGGAAGAACUGAGCUACUUUGAGACUUGGAGAAAAUAUUUGGCGUCCUCCUGGACUUCCACACAAUAUCCCUGCUGCCUCUGCAGUGUCUGACUUCAUGGUCAGACUGCUGUGAGGUGAGCCAAGGUGAACAAAGAGAUGGAACUUCUCUCUCCAAUGGGACUGGAGGCCAUCAGCUCGGUACCAGGCUACAGCAGUGGCUCUUUUAGAAGCAAAUUUCUUUUGAUACUGCUUGCCUUUUGUGAAUGAGCACUGCAGGGAAACUGAGGCUUACUGUUUUCUGCGGCACACACAGUUGACAAGUCAUUUCUCACUUCUGAGAGCACCAGGGGGGAAAUUGAAGGAGUCAAGAUGAAUCAUUGAGGAAGAUUUCUUUCACUCAGCUUCCCAUCAUACUGUGCAUUUCUUCAUCUAUUUAAAAACUAACUUGUGACUCCUUAGUAAUAGUCCACUCUCAGUCACGCACAUAGCUUCCCUUUAAGACUGUUAGUCUCACCCACUGGAUUCUCACUCAGAGGUGAUUUUGGACUUGUUAGAGUGGACAAAUUAAAGGAUUGCGAUGAAUAUCAGAGAUAAGUUGGGGAGACAGGGAGAACACUGGACUGGAAGAUCUGAGUUACACAUGUCACAGUCGGUGACCAGCGGUGACUGGAGACAAGUCGACCUUGUGGACUUUCAUACCUUCCACUAUAACAGGUAAGAACCCAGAAGCCCAGACUUCAGUUUCGCGCACCGAUUGCCCACCGGAGCUGAACUACAACCCCCACAAUGCGCCGCGCGGCGCGCCUGGCUGCUUUCCGCCGUCUCCCGCAGUUUUCCCUGUGUCCCUCCUACAAC